GUCGUCGUGAUGUGCACAUCUUGAGAAGAUUGCGUUGCUUUCUGGGCGCAGCUUUUUCAAAUUUAUUAAAAGUCGACACAAAUGCAAACCAACAAACGCCUUGUAAAUAGCAAAACUAACUGAAAUAGAGACUCAACAACACUUUCUUAUGCUAAUAGAACAAACUUAAAAUUAACAUAUUCUAAACCAAACCAUAACAAACAACGAAUAAACAAACAACGGAGUUUACACAACAACAACUUUAUAGAGGAGUUCAGUAUUAACAGCUCUCUUUAAGCCGCGUUGCCUGCAAUUUGAAAGGAUCGCAACGCAAAAUGGCGCCGCAACGCGCACGGCAACCUUACCAACAACAAAGGACACAACAAGUACAAUUUACUUGGCAAAGGCACCAGAAUCAGCCAUUAGAAGCAACAACAAUGGCCCGGCAACGACAUAGAGUGGUUGAAAAAUGAAACAAAAACCAGAAACGAAUUUUCCACUCAAAUUUGCAUUCAGCCAAAGAUAUACAAAAGUCUAAACAAAGAGGAAGGAAACAACACACAACUGUGCACAAGAAAUUCGCAAAAGAAAAGGGGUCAGAGGGCACGCACACAAACACACACACCGAAACGGACAACAGGACACAGGAACCACAACACAAAUACACCUGAAAGGAGCACAUAAAACUCAGAGAAACCACACCGACACACAAAUAAGAAAGAAAGCGCCGAGUGCAUCGUGAAUAAUUUCCAACGAAUUUCCAAAAGUCUACGAAACAAAUCUAACAAAACGUUCAUUACAAAUAAUAACAAAAGAAUCCCAUAAAAGUUUUGAAAUUUGCUCUGUGAUUUUCUAUCGGAAUGGUUUACUAACCCAAUAAUAAUAAUAAUAUUUAAUAAAAUAAUAUAUAUUUAUAAAUAUUGCUGCAUAGACGACAUACCAAAACAAACAAGUUAUCGAAUCAAUAUUGAAAGCUUUAAAUCCAACCGGAAAGAUAAACCAACAAUGUUUAUAAAUACUAGAAGCAAAAAAUAAAUACACUCCAACUAAUUAGAGCCGCAGAA